rnacentral:misc_RNA from 1 species
GAUGAAGAACGCAGCGAAAUGCGAUACGUAAUGUGAAUUGCAGAAUUCAGUGAAUCAUCGAAUCUUUGAACGCAUAUUGCGCUCUCUGGUAUUCCGGAGAGCAUGCUUGUUUGAGUAUCAGAAAACACCUCAACUCCCUUUUCUUUUUUGAAAUUGGAGCUGGACUUGAGUGAUCCCAACGCUUUCUUCCAAGAAAGUGGCGGGUUGCUUGAAAUGCAGGUGCAGCUGAACUUUUCUCUGAGCUAUAAGCAUAUCUAUUUAGUCUGCCUAAAAAACAGAUUAUUACCUUUGCUGCAGCUAACAUAAAGGAGACUAGUUCUUGUGCUGACUGAUGCAGGAUUCACAGAGACAGCUUCGGCUGACUUUGUAAACUCGAUCUCAAAUCAAGUAAGACUACCCGCUGAACUUAAGCAUAUCAAUAAGCGGAGGA